CUCCGCUCCCACUCCCCUUCUAUUUAUGUUCAUGUUCAAUUAGGGAUUAAACUAGGUUUGUCAUCAGUAUUUUCUUGGAAGUGUCGCCGUAUAACACCUGGCAUAUUCAGAGAAUGCCAUUAUAUAAGUCAGCCUUAGUCCUUGCACAGCUGUUGUAAAAAAGUUGGCACAACCCAAAAUUGCGAACAACUCUGACUGAAAAUGGAUUCAUCAGCUGCAGAUUUUGUUUCAAAUUACUACAUAUCCUCAGCUACUUCCUCUCCUCCUCCUCAAAAACAUCAGGAGGUCUCAAGCCCCCUUAUUCAUGAAGAUUUGAAGGAGGAAGUGGUCAAAGAUCCUGUUGAGAGGUCUCAAGCCCCGUUGUUCGUGAAGAUUUGAAGGAUGAAGUGGUCAAAGAUCCUGUUGAGUAAAUGUAUAAAUUGGCUUUCUUGAAUGACUGCUAUUCACUUGUGAUGUUUUUCGGUUGAAGUGUUUGUUUGGCCUUUGCUUUGAUUUUUAAUCUGCAUAACUG